rnacentral:rRNA from 1 species
AUUGAACGCUGGCGGCAUGCCUUACACAUGCAAGUCGAACGGCAGCACGGGAGCAAUCCUGGUGGCGAGUGGCGAACGGGUGAGUAAUACAUCGGAACGUGCCCAAUCGUGGGGGAUAACGCAGCGAAAGCUGUGCUAAUACCGCAUACGAUCUACGGAUGAAAGCAGGGGAUCGCAAGGCCUUGCGCGAAUGGAGCGGCCGAUGGCAGAUUAGGUAGUUGGUGAGGUAAAGGCUCACCAAGCCGUCGAUCUGUAGCUGGUCUGAGAGGACGACCAGCCACACUGGGACUGAGACACGGCCCAGACUCCUACGGGAGGCAGCAGUGGGGAAUUUUGGACAAUGGGCGAAAGCCUGAUCCAGCCAUGCCGCGUGCAGGAUGAAGGCCUUCGGGUUGUAAACUGCUUUUGUACGGAACGAAACGGCCUUUUCUAAUAAAGAGGGCUAAUGACGGUACCGUAAGAAUAAGCACCGGCUAACUACGUGCCAGCAGCCGCGGUAAUACGUAGGGUGCAAGCGUUAAUCGGAAUUACUGGGCGUAAAGCGUGCGCAGGCGGUUAUGUAAGACAGUUGUGAAAUCCCCGGGCUCAACCUGGGAACUGCAUCUGUGACUGCAUAGCUAGAGUACGGUAGAGGGGGAUGGAAUUCCGCGUGUAGCAGUGAAAUGAGUAGAUAUGCGGAGGAACACCGAUGGCGAAGGCAAUCCCCUGGACCUGUACUGACGCUCAUGCACGAAAGCGUGGGGAGCAAACAGG